UAUCACAUCACACAUCAUUCACAUUUAAAAAAAAAACCCAAGAGUCUCCUUCUUCCCCUUUCAUUCACGGUUCCAACAUCAUCCACAAUUAGCCACCUUUAUUCACACUAAAUUACCUUAUUUUAACCUUAAUUUAACCAUUUCAAGACCAUCUAAGCAUAGUUAAAGCAUGGAGCAUCAUUAGAGCUUUGUUUGGAGCUUAAUCUUUUCUAAAUAAUCAUCUUAGGACACUUGCAAAGUGGUAUGGGAAUGGAUCAUAGCAUGUUGACAGUUCAUAGGAGCGCAUCUAUCUUUCUUUCAGCAACUCGAUAGUGGGCCGUGCUUCACAGUUGAAGUUGUGCUAUACCUGGUGGUGGUUCAGAUUUCAAUUUGUUUUCUUAAUGGCAAAUACUGCUCAAAAACCCUGGAUUAUUAUUAUUUUAUGUAGCACGUGUAUGCAUUUGUAACAAAGAAUACCUACACGAUGGUGUUUCUAAAGACUUGUAUGACACAUUACUACCAGGUAUGAUUGGUCAAAUUGUAAGAGUUGUUGAUGAGAUCAAAAGAUGCAAGAUCACCACAACUAAAGAAGACUUUGAUAGAUGGGAGAAAUCCUUGAAUUCUUUUGAACUUUUGGGCAUGAAGGUCGGCUUUUUACGUGAUAAGGUACAUACACUUGCAACCCUUGUGUUUGAAUCAGAAGUUGCAGUGGAUAUAAAGCAGUAUCUUGAGGCAAGAAACCAACGUAAACGUGCCGAAAAUGAAAUCAAGAAAGCUGCAGCAAAGCUAAAGGAGUUGAAGGGAGAGGCUAUAAAGUUUGCUGGGAUUGCGGGUAGUUUGAGACACAAGGUUGAGAAGUAUGAACACAAAGGAGGAGGUUGAUAAACUGUGAGAGGGUAGGCAGACUCUAUCAAAAGAAAGUUAGUAGUGUUUUCUGCUUAUGAUAAACUGUAAUCUCUAGACCGUACCACUUAUGACCCAUGAACUGUAAUUACUAAAUUAGUAAUCCUUUAUUCAAUGAUAAGUAGUAGCUUUUAUACUUUUCUACCUUGA